UUAACUAGGCGAACAACGAA
rnacentral:siRNA from 1 species